rnacentral:tRNA from 1 species
AAGGAUUUAAGUUAAGAAAACUAAGAACCUUCAAAGUUCUAAAUAAAGUUACAACUUUAAGCCUUA